rnacentral:rRNA from 1 species
UGGCUCAGAUUGAACGCUGGCGGUAUGCUUAACACAUGCAAGUCGAACGCGAACGUUUCUUCGGAAACAAGUAGAGUGGCGGACGGGUGAGGAAAGCGUAGGGAUAAGUAGUGGGGGACAACUUAGGGAAACUUAAGCAUAUACCGCAUACGCCCUACGGGGGAAAGCAGGGGAUCUUCGGACCUUGCGCUAUUAGAUGAGCCUGCGUCGGAUUAGCUAGUUGGUAGGGUAAAGGCCUACCAAGGCAACGAUCCGUAGCUGGUUUGAGAGGACGAUCAGCCACACUGGGACUGAGACACGGCCCAGACUCCUACGGGAGGCAGCAGUGGGGAAUAUUGGACAAUGGGCGCAAGCCUGAUCCAGCAAUACCGCGUGUGUGAAGAAGGCCUUAGGGUUGUAAAGCACUUUCAGUAGGGAGGAACAGGAUGAGAUUAAUACUCUCGUCCACUGACGUUCCCUCCGAAGAAGCACCGGCUAACUCCGUGCCAGCAGCCGCGGUAAUACGGGGGGUGCAAGCGUAAAUCGGAUUUACUGGGCGUAAAGCGCGCGUAGGUGGUUUGGCAAGUUGGAUGUGAAAGCCCCGGGCUCAACCUGGGAACUGCAUUUGAAACUGGUUAACUAGAGUGUGCUAGAGGAGAGUGGAAUUGCAGGUUUAGCGGUGAAAUGCGUAGAGAUCUGAAGGAACACCAGUGGCGAAGGCGGCUCUCUGGACCAACACUGACGCUGAGGUGCGAAAGCGUGGGUAGCAAACGGGAUUAGAUACCCCGGUAGUCCACGCCGUAAACGAUGUCAAACUAACUGUUGGACGGGUUACCGUUUAGUGGUGCAGCUAACGCAAUAAGUUGACCGCCUGGGGAGUACGGCCGCAAGGCUAAAACUCAAAUGAAUUGACGGGGGCCCGCACAAGCGGUGGAGCAUGUGGUUUAAUUCGAUGCAACGCGAAGAACCUUACCUACCCUUGACAUCCAGAGAAUCUGUUAGAGAUAGUAGAGUGCCUUCGGGAAUUCUGUGACAGGUGCUGCAUGGCUGUCGUCAGCUCGUGUCGUGAGAUGUUGGGUUAAGUCCCGUAACGAGCGCAACCCUUAUCCUUAGUUGCUAGAAGGUAAUGCUGAGAAAUCUAGGGAGACUGCCGGUGAUAAACCGGAGGAAGGUGGGGACGAAGUAAAGUAAUCAUGGCACUUAUGGGUAGGGCAACACCCGUGAUCCCCUGGUCGGAACCGCGGGCUGCAAACUCGCGAGAGUAAGCUAAUCUCAGAAAGCCGAUCUUAGUCCGGAUUGGAGUCUGCAACUCGACUCCAUGAAGUUGGAAUCGCUAGUAAUCGCGGAUCAGAAUGCCGCGGUGAAUACGUUCCCGGGCCUUGUACACACCGCCCGUCACACCAUGGGAGUGGGUUGCAAAAGAAGUGGGUAGAAUAACCUUCGGGAGGUCGCUCACCACUUUGUGAUUCAUGACUGGGGUGAAGUCGAAACAAGGUAAAGGGC